rfam:Spinacia oleracea cultivar SynViroflay scaffold30285.con0001.1, whole genome shotgun sequence.
AACCUAUUAGCUCAAGUGGUAGAGCACUAUGCAAAUGAUGCAUAGGGGAUGUGGGUUCGAUUCCUACAUAGGUUG